rnacentral:rRNA from 1 species
UACGGAGGAUCCGAGCGUUAUCCGGAUUUAUUGGGUUUAAAGGGAGCGUAGGUGGAUUGUUAAGUCAGUUGUGAAAGUUUGCGGCUCAACCGUAAAAUCGCAGUUGAAACUGGCAGUCUUGAGUACAGUAGAGGUGGGCGGAAUUCGUGGUGUAGCGGUGAAAUGCUUAGAUAUCACGAAGAACUCCGAUUGCGAGGGCAGCUCACUGGACUGCAACUGACACUGAGGCUCGAAAGUGUGGGUAUCAAACAGG